GUUUUUUAUAAAAAUAUCGUAAAAUCCUGUUUAUUUUUGGAAAAUUUGUUUUCUAAUAUAAUGGUGACCUGUUCCGUCCUUGAUUGUGAUGUACACCAAAGGAAUAAUCCUGCAAAAUAUUCAUUUCACAGAUGUUUGUACUGUGCGGGAAUCGAACCCGCUACCUCCGGAAUAGUAGUCCGUUUCGAACCACUACACUAUACGGCCAACAACGAUUAUUACAUCGUUAGAAUCCUAUUUUCUUACGUUAUCGUCAGAAUUAUCAUUUUUUAAUUAUUGUUUUACUCCUACUAAUAUUAUAAAUGCGAAAGUUUGUAUGGAUGUCUUGAUGUUUGUAACUCUCAUUCUUCCAAAUAAAUAAGUUGAAUAAUUUUAA